UAUAUAUUGCAUCGCAAAAGAAAAUACUGUCAAGAAAAAAAAAGACGAGAGCACGCACGUCCCACGGCACCGCGAAGAAACUGGACCGGCCCAAAACUUUCUUCCACGACGCAGAUCACUUUGCAGUGUCACCAGCCCAUCUCCGUUCCUUUCCCCUUCCCUCCAAGCGGCGACGGCUGACUCCCAAACGGCCAAACCCCACCGGCGAGGACCAAGCAAUCGCCCGCCUCCGCCGUCUCCCAGGGAACCAGCUACGUGCAGCCGCAACCGCAACCGCAAGCAUGCCGAGGCCCCCUCCACCGGGCCGAGGGGCUCCGGGCGCCAGGCGGCCGAUGCGGGACUUCUUCGCGACCUGGCUCGCCAACCUCCGCUCGCCGCUCCUCCCGUUGCUCCGCCGCGCGCUCUCCUCCUCGUCCGGCUCCUGGAACGACCCACUCUCCACGUCCGCCGCUGCUGUCGAGGCCCACUUCCAGGCGCACUGGUCCGCACUCGACGCGGCCGCCCGCCAAGACCCCGCCCAGGUCAUCUGCGCCGGAGACUGGCGGUCACCCCUGGAGCUCCCCUUCCUCUGGCUCGGCGACUUCCACCCCUCCCUCCUCACCUCCCUUCUCCGGUCGCUAUCGCCUUCGCCGCGGCUCCUCGUCGCCGCCGACCGCGUCGACCGCCGAAUCCGCGCCGCCGUCCCUGCCGUCUCCGACCGCCUCCGCCACGCCCAGGAGGCCUUCACCUCAGGCGAGGUGGUCGGUGCGGCUGAUCUGGAGGUCUUCUUGGAGGAACUCAAGGGCGUCGCCCUCGAGGCUAAUCGGCUCCGUCGAGGCGUUCUUUCGGAGCUCGUUGCCGCUGCCGGGGGGCACCAGGCAGCGCUCUUUCUCGAAGCUCUGUCGCGCUUUGUGCUCUCCAUGCACGACCCGGAGGUGCUCCGCCGCUUCGACCAUUGCCGCGCCUCGCCUGGCAUCUUUGGGAAACACGAGAUUGGGUAGCAACUGCCGAGGCGGCGGCAGCGAGGAGGAGACCAAACCGAGAAGAAAGAUCUUUUUUCCUGAUUGGGUAUAGUCAGUGGGCUAGCGGCGUAUUGAGGUGGUGGUACAGCGACUCGAAAACGUUAGCAACAUCCAGCAGGCAGGGGGUAAACGCAUGGAUCCUAGUGGAUACGACUCGAUCGGUGACUCCAAUCUCCCAAGGCAUCAUCGAUCAGGUCGCCAGCACUGACGUUUCAGUGUUAACACCUGUUCAAAUUGACGUAAUACCAAUACCGUUUUUGUUGCACGUUUGUUUAUAAGGACUGGUGUUAACAUCGGCAUGAAGUAGGCUAGGGACCGACCAUGCCGUGUCGUUGUAUUCUGAGUAUAUAGCACUUGUCUACAUGCAAUUGUGGAGCAGAAGUUUCUCGGCAAAGAAACGUUUCAGUCAGAGUGGUGCCAAAUCUUUUGCUUGCAAUUGCAUGGCACAUUUGAGAAUUGAGAAAUAAUGCGCGUUC